UAUAAAUAGUGGAACAAAAGGACCAACUUCCUCGCAGCUUUGCUGAAACUGCACAAAAAAGGCAACCGGGGGGGGAACACACACGGUUAUUUUUUGAUUUUAUUUUUCUCCGGUUGAAAGGCGAAUCCUCCCCCUCCUUCCUCCCCCUCCCCCCCCAACCCCCCCGCUACUGGAAGAUUUUUUUUUUUUUUCCCCUCGCUGUCUCCUAUGCUGGCAACGUCCUGCGAGUGGCUGUUUUGCUUUCGCACUGAGAGAAGAGCUUUCCCCCUCACCCUUUCUGCUGACACUUAUGGAUGAAAUCCACAUACUGAUGUCUAACCUGUAACAAAUGCCAACUGUGCAGCUCUAGCAGGGAGCAGUGGAAUCAUGAAAAGCAUUAGGCCCUGAGCCUGCUAACGCUCGUCUGCCAGCAGUCAACCGAGUUCAAGAUGACUCGCUCACAGACGUGAAGGGAAGAUUUUGAAAGUCAGUGGGAGCAGAGCUCCCAGACGCUCAUUAUGUACUUUUGAAAAAUCUUCCCCGAAGUCAUGGGAACAACAGCUUGCAGGUCUCAGGCCUCUGCUUUCUUUUCCCUUUUUUAAAAAGCGCAUGAGAUUUGAAAAAAAGCAAACCCACAAAACAGAACAAAACACUGAAGUCAGAAAGCCCGAGGAGCGGCUGGCAGGGAUGCGCUGGAUCUCCCUGCCGAGGCAGGGUCCGCGGAGCUCCCAGGGAAAGACUCUCAGCAGGCACAAGUCAAGUGCAGACAGCGAGUGGCUCGGGCGGCACCGCAGCCUGCCUUCCUCCUGCUGCUUUCGGCAGCUCCCUAAACUCCAUCUCGGCUUCCCCAUCCCUGAGCGGGGCUGGGA